GAUGAACGCUAGCUACAGGCUUAACACAUGCAAGUCGAGGGGAAACGAUAGGGAAAGCUUGCUUUUUCUAGGCGUCGACCGGCGCACGGGUGAGUAACGCGUAUCCAACCUGCCCAUCACUUGGGGAUAACCUUGCGAAAGUAAGACUAAUACCCAAUGACGUCUCUAGAAGACAUCUGAAGGAGAUUAAAGAUUUAUCGGUGAUGGAUGGGGAUGCGUCUGAUUAGCUGGUUGGCGAGGGAACGGCCCACCAAGGCGACGAUCAGUAGGGGGUAUGAGAGGAAGGUCCCCCACAUUGGAACUGAGACACGGUCCAAACUCAUACGGGAGGCAGCAGUGAGGAAUAUUGGUCAAUGGACGAGAGUUUGAACCAGCCAAGUAGCGUGCAGGAAGACGGCCCUAUGGGUUGUAAACUGCUUUUAUAAGGGAAUAAAGUGAGUCUCGUGAGACUUUUUGCAUGUACCUUAUGAAUAAGGACCGGCUAAUUCCGUGCCAGCCGCCGCCGUAA
rnacentral:rRNA from 1 species